GUCUCGAGCGUUGUCCGGAUUUAUUGGGCGUAAAGCGAGCGCAGGCGGUUCUAUAAGUCUGAAGUAAAAGGCAGUGGCUCAACCAUUGUAUGCUUUGGAAACUGUAGAACUUGAGUGCAGAAGGGGAGAGUGGAAUUCCAUGUGUAGCGGUGAAAUGCGUAGAUAUAUGGAGGAACACCGGUGGCGAACGCGGCUCUAUGGUCUGU
rnacentral:rRNA from 1 species